rnacentral:pre_miRNA from 1 species
AGUGGGAUAACUGGGUGAAACAGUGGUUUCAUUCCAAGUUUUCUGAGGAAUCUCCAUACUACUUUCCAGAGUUGUUGCACAGUUUGCAAUCCCACCAGCAAU